rnacentral:rRNA from 1 species
GAUGAACGCUAGCGGCAGGCCUAACACAUGCAAGUCGAGGAGUAACUAGAGUGAUAGCAAUAUUACUUUGGCUAGACCGGCGCACGGGUGCGUAACACGUAUGCAACCUACCUUAUACUGGGGAAUAACUUCGAGAAAUCGGCGCUAAUACCCCAUAACAUUGCGAAGAGGCAUCUCUUUGCAAUUAAAGCUCCGGCGGUAUAAGAUGGGCAUGCGUCCAAUUAGCUAGUUGGUGAGGUAACGGCUCACCAAGGCUACGAUUGGUAGGGGUUCUGAGAGAAUGAUCCCCCACACUGGUACUGAGACACGGACCAGACUCCUACGGGAGGCAGCAGUGAGGAAUAUUGCGCAAUGGACGAAAGUCUGACGCAGCCAUGCCGCGUGCAGGAUGACGGCCCUAUGGGUUGUAAACUGCUUUUGUACGGGAAUAAACCCUUCUACGUGUAGGAGGCUGAAGGUACCGUAAGAAUAAGCACCGGCUAACUCCGUGCCAGCCGCCGCAGUAA